rnacentral:rRNA from 1 species
GGCCUACCAUGGUGGUAACGGGUAACGGGGUGUUAGGGCACGACACCGGAGAGGGAGCCUGAGAAACGGCUACCACAUCCAAGGAAGGCAGCAGGCGCGCAAAUUACCCAAUCCCGACACGGGGAGGUAGUGACAAUAAAUAACAAUACAGGGUUCUUUUGGAUCUUGUAAUUGGAAUGAGUACAAUUUAAAUCUCUUAACGAGGAACAAUUGGAGGGCAAGUCUGGUGCCAGCAGCCGCGGUAAUUCCAGCUCCAAUAGCGUAUAUUAAAGUUGUUGCAGUUAAAAAGCUCGUAGUUGAAUUUCGGGAUCAAUAUAUCGGUCGUGCCUCUGGUUCGUACUGGUAUCAUUGAUUUCUCCUUUCUGACGAACCAUGAUGUCAUUAAUUUGGUGUUAUGGGGAGUUAGGACUGUUACUUUGAAAAAAUUAGAGUGUUUAAAGCAGGCAUUAGCUUGAAUACAUUAGCAUGGAAUAAUGAAAUAGGACGUUUGACCCUAUUUUGUUGGUUUCUAGGAUCGACGUAAUGAUUAAUAGGGAUAGUUGGGGGCAUUAGUAUUCAAUUGUCAGAGGUGAAAUUCUUGGAUUUAUUGAAGACUAACUACUGCGAAAGCAUUUGCCAAGGAUGUUUUCAUUAAUCAAGAACGAAAGUUAGGGGAUCGAAGACGAUCAGAUACCGUCGUAGUCUUAACCAUAAACUAUGCCGACUAGGGAUCGGAUGAUGUUAAUUUUAUAAUGACUCAUUCGGCGCCUUACG